rnacentral:tRNA from 1 species
CGUGAGGUGGCUUGGUGGUAAGGCACCUGACUUGUGAGCAGGAGGCCCUGAUUUCGGUUCCUGGCAUCACAU